CCCUACCCAACGGCACUCUGCGCUUCCUGACACUCAGUAAAUAAAAGUGAACACAUUAAUACUGAUAUUUUGUUACCUUUGGAGAUGAGAAGGUCCAGCGUUUCCCUGCCUGGCCCAGGUACCAAAGACUUAUGAUGUGGUGUCCAGAAUAAAGAGGAGGGUUCACUUCAUUUGUCCUUCCUGCUCCAAUCUCCUUUUCCUCUCCUUC